ensembl:snoRNA U3 Small nucleolar RNA U3
AAGACUUUACUUUCAGGGAUCAUUUCUAUGUUUAAUAACUUGAGAAAUGUGCUCCUAAAGUAAUCAGUCUCGUCAACCAUGAUGAAGAGCUUUGAUAUUCUCUUCUGAGCAUGAAGCGGUCAGGAGUAAAUGAUUCACUUCAUAUGUUUCCUGCCAUUGAUGAUUGUUCUUUGCUUCUGCUAGGAGCAAUGAGGAGGAGAAUGUGAUCAGAAUGGU